rnacentral:rRNA from 1 species
UUGAAUAUUUGCCUAGUGGCGGAUGGGUGAGUAACGCGUGGGCAACCUACCCUGUACAGGGGGAUAACAAUGGGAAACCAUUGCUAAUACCCCAUAAUACCUUUUAAGGGCAUCCUUGAAAGGUCAAAGAAUUUCGGUAUAGGAUGGGCCCGCGUCUGAUUAGCUAGUUGGUGGGGUAAUGGCCUACCAAAGCAACGAUCAGUAGCCGGCCUGAGAGGGUGAACGGCCACACUGGAACUGAGACACGGUCCACACUCCUACGGGAGGCAGCAGUGGGGAAUAUUGCACAAUGGGGGAAACCCUGAUGCAGCAACGCCGCGUGAGCGAUGAAGGCUUUCGAUUGGUAAAGUUCUUUCUUAAGGGAAGAUAAUGACGGUACCUUAGGAGGAAGCCCCGGCUAACUACGUGCCAGCAGCCGCGGUAAUACGUAGGGGGCAAGCGUUAUCCGGAAUUAUUGGGCGUAAAGGGUGCGUAGGCGGCCUUAUGGGUCAGAGGUUAAAUACUACGGCUUAACCGUAGUAUGCCUUUGAAACUAUAGGGCUUGAGUGCAGGAGAGGAGAGUGGAAUUCCUAGUGUAGCGGUGAAAUGCGUAGAUAUUAGGAGGAAUACCAGUGGCGAAGGCGACCCUCUGGACUGCAACUGACGCUAAGGCACGAAAGCGUGGGUAGCGAACAGGAUUAGAUACCCUGGUAGUCCACGCUGUAAACGAUGAGUGCUAGGUGUUGGGGGUCAAACCUCGGUGCCGCAGUUAACGCAUUAAGCACUCCGCCUGGGGAGUACGUUCGCAAGAAUAAAACUCAAAGGAAUUGACGGGGACCCGCACAAGCAGCGGAGCAUGUGGUUUAAUUCGAAGCAACGCGAAGAACCUUACCUGGAUUUGACAUCCCUCUGACCGUCUCUUAAUCGAGAUUUUCCCUUCGGGGACAGAGGAGACAGGUGGUGCAUGGUUGUCGUCAGCUCGUGUCGUGAGAUGUUGGGUUAAGUCCCGCAACGAGCGCAACCCUUGUCUUUAGUUGCCAUCAAGUAAAGUUGGGCACUCUAAAGAGACUGCCAAGGUAAACUUGGAGGAAGGUGGGGAUGACGUCAAAUCAUCAUGCCCUUUAUGUCCAGGGCUACACACGUGCUACAAUGGCCGAUACAACGGGCAGCUAAGGAGCAAUCCGGAGCAAAUCCUACAAAAUCGGUCCCAGUUCGGAUUGUGGGCUGAAAUUCGCCCACAUGAAGUCGGAGUUGCUAGUAAUCGCGAAUCAGCAUGUCGCGGUGAAUGCGUUCCCGGGUCUUGUACUCACCGCCCGUCA